CCGGCGCACGGGUGAGUAACGCGUAUGCAACCUACCUAUCAGGAGGGGAUAACCCGGCGAAAGUCGGACUAAUACCGCAUAAAACAGGGGUUCCACAUGGAAAUAUUUGUUAAAGAAUUAUCGCUGAUAGACGGGCAUGCGUUCCAUUAGAUAGUUGGUGAGGUAACGGCUCACCAAGUCCACGAUGGAUAGGGGUUCUGAGAGGAAGGUCCCCCACACUGGUACUGAGACACGGACCAG
rnacentral:rRNA from 1 species